CCUAUGGAGAGUACAAGAACUUGUGAGUAGUAUUUGUUUCGACAGUGCAAAAGCAUACUCGUUGAAGUAGGAA
rnacentral:sRNA from 12 species